rnacentral:rRNA from 1 species
ACAGCAGUAGCCACGGGAAUACGAAGGGUGCAAGCGUUACUCGGAAUUACUGGGCGUAAAGCGUGCGUAGGUGGUGGUUUAAGUCCGUUGUGAAAGCCCUGGGCUCAACCUGGGAAUUGCAGUGGAUACUGGGUCACUAGAGUGUGGUAGAGGAUAGUGGAAUUUCCGGUGUAGUAGUGAAAUGCGUAGAGAUCGGAAGGAACAUCUGUGGCGAAGGCGACUAUCUGGGCCAACACUGACACUGAGGCACGAAAGCGUGGGGAGCAAACAGGAUUAGAUACCCCCGUAGUCCCUGUCUCUUAUAC